AAGGGCUUAGGAUAGUACUCAGACCAUGGGCCUUCAAAGCCCCCAGCAGGAGUGAAAAUCUCCUAGCCCUUG
rnacentral:tRNA from 1 species